CUGCCAGUAGCUCAUCCGGAUAGAGCAACUGCCUUCUAAGCAGUAGGUAGCAGGUUCGAGUCCUGCCUGGCAGGCCA
rnacentral:tRNA from 1 species